rnacentral:rRNA from 1 species
CCGAAGAAAUUCGGAUUAAUACUCCAUAGUAUAGUGAAGAGGCAUCUCUUUAUUAUUAAAACUACGGUGGUUAAGGAUGGGCAUGCGUUGCAUUAGCUAGUUGGUGAGGUAAUGGCUCACCAAGGCUACGAUGCAUAGGGGAUCUGAGAGGAUUAUCCCCCACACUGGUACUGAGACACGGACCAGACUCCUACGGGAGGCAGCAGUAAGGAAUAUUGGACAAUGGUGGAAACACUGAUCCAGCCAUGCCGCGUGAAGGAUGAAGGCGCUAUGCGUCGUAAACUUCUUUUGAACGGGAGAAACCCCAGAUACGUGUAUCUGGCUGAUAGUACCGGUAGAAUAAGGGUCGGCUAACUUCGUGCCAGCAGCCGCGGUAAUACGAAGGACCCGAGCGUUAUCCGGAUUCAUUGGGUUUAAAGG